CUCAUUAAAUCAGUUAUAGUUUAUUUGAUGGUCUCUUUUGUCUUUUUUUACCUACUUGGAUAACCGUGGUAAUUCUAGAGCUAAUACAUGCGCAAGGUCCCGAGCGCGGGGGGUGGGGCUUCACGGCUCCAUUCUCGCAUGCGCAGAGGGAUGUAUUUAUUAGGUUAAAAACCAGCGUAGUCAGCAAUGGCCCCCUGCCAGACACUCCUGGUGAUUCAUAGUAACUCUUUCGGAUCGCAUUCAUG
rnacentral:rRNA from 1 species